GUUGACCUCGGAUCAGGUAGGGAUACCCGCUGAACUUAAGCAUAUCAUAGCCGGAAGGAAC
rnacentral:rRNA from 1 species